CGUAGAUCUGCCGGCCACAGCGGGCACACUUGGUACCGAAGCGGCUGCGGAGGAGAAGAGACGGGCGCACACAUCUGCUUUUUCCCCCGUGGAGGAGGUCUCAUCGCUGAGAGAGGACGAUGACUGUGCUGGAGUGAGCUGUGCUGGAAGGUAGCUCAGCACAGUCAAGGGGCAGACAGCCAGGAGCCCCUCACCAGGUGACUGUGUGAAAACCCCCAUUCCUGUCAGGAUGGUCAAGGGCAGGUGAUUCACAGGCAGCAGCAGAUGUGGCCCCCAUGGCCCUGAACCCCCAGGUCAGUGUGUGACACGAGGUGCCAGGCAGGUUUGAUAUCUGCAUAUUCAGUACUACUGCUGCUUAAAAUAAUAAACGCAAUGAACAGCAGCGAGAGCAUCAGGAGAGAAGGGAGCAUCUCCUCUGCCACCCCAGAGGUGGUACUGGCUCCAGCAGAGUCAGUGCACUUCCCCUCACAGCCCAGCACUGCCACUGUCACCUCAAGCUCCCGAGGGCUCCUGCCAGCCCCUCGCCACAGUGGGAGCAGAGCCUGGCAGCCCUGCCCAAGCAGCUCCAGAAUCUCUCAGUGCAGGCACAAAACACCAACAAGAAAUGACCACAGCAAGCAACAGGAGAGACCCCACAGCACAAACCCUUGGGUUCAGUGGCCAGAGCAGCCCCAGGCUCUGCGGACAGACAGACAGAGCCCAGGCCAGGCCACCAAGGCCAGUGUGCUGCCCAUGCCUGACCCCACACCGAGGAACUGCUGCCCACCACGGGCCCAGCAAGAUGUGGAAAUACUGUCCUGUGCUGGGAUUACUAAUAGCAAAACUAUUUGGGAGGAAAAGAAGGGUCUAAAUUUUUCAGCCUGACCAUAGCUGACCAAAAAAGAAGAAAAAAAAAGAGGACAUUUCUGUGCUGAAAUUAUACAGAGACUUAGCUAAGAGACUUCACUAAUUUACUUCAGAUGGGAACAUUGUAAACUGACUUUGUGCCAGCUCGUUUAUAUAAACGCACAAACAAAAGAACUGUAUUAAUUUUUUAUUUAGAAAUAAAGAUCAUUCCUGUAAA